rnacentral:rRNA from 1 species
GAUGAACGCUGGCGGCGUGCCUAAUACAUGCAAGUCGAGCGAACGGACGAGAAGCUUGCUUCUCUGAUGUUAGCGGCGGACGGGUGAGUAACACGUGGAUAACCUACCUAUAAGACUGGGAUAACUUCGGGAAACCGGAGCUAAUACCGGAUGAUAUUUUGAACCGCAUGGUUCAAAAGUGAAAGACGGUCCUGCUGUCACUUAUAGAUGGAUCCGCGCUGCAUUAGCUAGUUGGUAAGGUAACGGCUUACCAAGGCAACGAUGCAUAGCCGACCUGAGAGGGUGAUCGGCCACACUGGAACUGAGACACGGUCCAGACUCCUACGGGAGGCAGCAGUAGGGAAUCUUCCGCAAAGGGCGAAAGCCUGACGGAGCAACGCCGCGUGAGUGAUGAAGGUCUUCGGAUCGUAAAACUCUGUUAUUAGGGAAGAACAUAUGUGUAAGUAACUGUGCACAUCUUGACGGUACCUAAUCAGAAAGCCACGGCUAACUACGUG